CUACUCUUGACAUCCAGAGAACUUUCCAUAGAUGGAUUGGUGCCUUCCGGAACUCUGAUACAGGUGCUGCAUGGCGUGUCGUCAGCUCGUGUCGUGAGAUGUUGGGUUAAGUCCCGUAACGAGCGCAACCCUUAUCCUUAGUUGCUACCAUUUAGUUGGGCACUCUAAGGAGACUGCCGGUGAUAAACCGGAGGAAGGUGGGGACGACGUCAAGUCAUCAUGGCCCUUAUGGGUAGGGCUACACACGUGCUACAAUGGCCGGUACAGAGGGCCGCAAACUCGCGAGAGUAAGCUAAUCCCUUAAAGCCGGUCCUAGUCCGGAUUGCAGUCUGCAACUCGACUGCAUGAAGCUGGAAUCGCUAGUAAUCGCGGAUCAGAAUGCCGCGGUGAAUUCGUUCCCGGGUCUUGUA
rnacentral:rRNA from 1 species